GUCUUGUCUUUCUAACUCGAUAGAUUAUUGCUGUAAAAGUCAAACGUGUGAUGGAAAUAAAGGAAAUCCAGCAAAAUCCAACAAACAGAGACCACUAGCGGAUAAUUUUUGGAAAAAAUCUCCAUUCUUUAACCUCAGAGAAGGCGAAGGAGAUCUGUCACGCAAGUCACGCGAGGUUCAUACUGUAGGCCUACUAAGAAUAAACUGAGGUUAAUUGAGCUUGGCAUUGGAACCCGGCUUAAUUAAGUUACUAAAUAGUAUAAGCUGUAGAACGGCUGCAUAUUUAUAAGUUGAUUGUCAGUUUAAUAUAAUAUGUGAUAUCGAAAUAUUAAAAUUACAACAUAGGCCACAAGUUGUAGGUUUUUGUUUAAAAGGCAGUCUGAUUAUAUAAACCUAUUAACUAAUAGUAGCCAACACAACACUUACCGGCCCAUUUCAGGGGUAGAAUUAUCUGGUGUUUAUAGCCUAGAUAUCGUAAAAUACGAAAGCAGGGUGUAUACACGAUACAUCAAGGGCCAUAAAAUGAGACUGAUAGCUGAAACUACUGAUUUAUCUGCAUGUAUUCUUGUAUUCUCAUAUUUGUUUACUUCGCCUCAUACUGCGUGCCUUGAGUUAGCUGGUUUCUUUACUUCGAUAAAAGCUUAUCGUGUGGCUUACACAAGUUUUAUUUACAUUAAUAUGACUACAGAAUACUUAGUUAUAGUUUACAAAAGAAAUCAGUUACACAUGCGUUUAUUUAAGCUACGGUCGGGGAGCCGUCUUCUCGUUAAAGGUCGAUAUAAAGACAACAUGCCUUGGUAAUUUGAGUCGUGAGAGUAGCAGACGUACUAUAUGAUCCUCACGCGAAAACCAUCAUGAAAAGCGC